GAUGAACGCUGGCGGCGUGCUCAACACAUGCAAGUCGAACGGGAAACUUUUCAUUGAAGCUUCGGCAGAUUUGGUCUGUUUCUAGUGGCGGACGGGUGAGUAACGCGUGGGUAACCUGCCUUAUACAGGGGGAUAACAACCAGAAAUGGUUGCUAAUACCGCAUAAGCGCACAGGACCGCAUGGUCCGGUGUGAAAAACUCCGGUGGUAUAAGAUGGACCCGCGUUGGAUUAGCUAGUUGGCAGGGUAACGGCCUACCAAGGAGACGAUCCAUAGCCGGCCUGAGAGGGUGAACGGCCACAUUGGGACUGAGACACGGCCCAGACUCCUACGGGAGGCAGCAGUGGGGAAUAUUGCACAAUGGGGGAAACCCUGAUGCAGCGACGCCGCGUGAAGGAGGAAGUAUCUCGGUAUGUAAACUUCUAUCAGCAGGGAAGAUAGUGACGGUACCUGACUAAGAAGCCCCGGCUAACUACGUGCCAGCCGCCGCGGUAA
rnacentral:rRNA from 1 species